rnacentral:rRNA from 2 species
UGCUGCAGCUAACGCAUUAAGCACUCCGCCUGGGGAGUACGGUCGCAAGGACUGAAACUCAAAGGAAUUGACGGGGGCCCGCACAAGCGGUGGAGCAUGUGGUUUAAUUCGAAGCAACGCGAAGAACCUUACCAGGUCUUGACAUCCUCUGACAACUCUAGAGAUAGAGCGUUCCCCUUCGGGGGACAGAGUGACAGGUGGUGCAUGGUUGUCGUCAGCUCGUGUCGUGAGAUGUUGGGUUAAGUCCCGCAACGAGCGCAACCCUUGAUCUUAGUUGCCAGCAUUAAGUUGGGCACUCUAAGGUGACUGCCGGUGACAAACCGGAGGAAGGUGGGGAUGACGUCAAAUCAUCAUGCCC